CAUUCCUUGCUUUCCACCCAGCCAACUCAUUCAUUCAUUCACCCUUCCAUCUCUCUCUCUCUCUCUCUCUCUCUCAGCUAGACAAACCAAAACUCGACCGGCAAGCAACACACAGAGCAAUGGAUGGUAUCAGCUGCACCGACGAGAGCACCACCAGCAGCGACUCUCCAUCCUUCUCCCCCCCGCCCGCCAAGCCCUCCCCGCCGCCGCCGGGGAGCCUGUGGCGCGUCGGCAGCGCGGCCAGCACCGUCCUCGACCCCGCGCCGGACGGCGGCGCCGAGGCCGAGUCCCACAAGAAGCUCCUCCUCCAAGUACAAGGGCGUCGUCCCCAGCCCAACGGCCGCUGGGGCGCCCAAAUCUACGAGAAGCACCAGCGCGUCUGGCUCGGCACCUUCAACGAGGAGGAGGACGCCGCCCGCGCCUACGACAUCGCCGCCCAGCGCUUCCGCGGCCGCGACGCCGUCACCAACUUCAAGCCCGAUGGCGCCAUGGACCCCGCCGAGGCCGACUUCCUGGCCAAACACCCAAGCCCGAGAUCGUCGACAUGCUGCGCAAGCACACGUACCGCGACGAGCUAGAGCAGAGCAAGCGGAGCUACAGGGGCUCCGCCGCGGAACGGGCCGGGAGGGGCGGGUUCGGGCCGGGGCGGACAGAGUGGUCGGCCGCCGCCCGGGAGCAGCUGUUCGAGAAGGCCGUGACGCCGAGCGACGUGGGGAAGCUGAACCGGCUGGUGAUCCCGAAGCAGCACGCGGAGAAGCACUUCCCGCUGCCGGGCGGGCCGGCGGCGACGAUGAAGGGCGUACUGCUCAACUUCGAGGACGUCGGCGGGAAGGUGUGGCGGUUCCGGUAUUCGUACUGGAACAGCAGCCAGAGCUACGUGCUCACCAAGGGUUGGAGCCGGUUCGUGAAGGAGAAGAGCCUGAAGGCCGGCGACACCGUCUGCUUCCAGCGGUCGACCGGGCCGGACAAGCAGCUCUACAUCGACUUCAAGCCGCGGGGCCAGCCGCCGGCCGGCCCGGCCGCGCCGCCGCCGCCGCCCGUACAGAUGGUGAGGCUGUUCGGGGUGAACAUAAUGGAGGUGCCCUAUUGCGGUGGUGGGAAGAGAAUGAGGGAUGUGGACUUGUUGUCGUUCGAGUGUAGGAAGAAGCAGCAGAUGGUGGUUGGCGCUUUGUAGCACCUAACAUCUUCCAUCUUUUGAUCUUCUCCUUUGAACUUCUUUCCCUUAGGUUUUUGAAUUUUCCUUUUUUCCCUUAGUUGUUAUCAUGUUUUGUGAAUUAUAUGAGGAAGAAAGAGGGGGGUUAUGUUGUAGAUCCAAAUCAAUUGUAUAUUUUUACAAGAUAGAUGUUGAAGGGGGGGAAGAAGAAAAUCUAAAAAAUUAGGUGCAAAGAAGGAAAAGUCUCCUGGAAGAUAGAAAUAAUCAACAGUCAAGUUGCACCCUUUUAACAUGUGAGCUUGCAGAAUUCUUCUCUCUCUCUCUCUCUCUCUCUUUGAAUUCAAUGUUUUCUAUUUUA